rnacentral:tRNA from 1 species
GGGAAGGUGGCUCAGUGGUAGAGCGCUUGCCUAGCAUGCAUGAGGCCCUGGGUUCGAGUCCUGAGUAUCACA